rnacentral:ribozyme from 1 species
ACAACAACAAAACGAAAAAAAAAUCAUCAAAAAAAAAAAACCUUCCAAAAAAACACACACAUAUAUAUUUGUAAUUCCUCCUUUCCAUUGUUCCUCUGCCUUUUUUUUUUUUUUU